rnacentral:rRNA from 1 species
UCGGCUCAGUAACACGUGGACAACCUACCCUGAGGUCGGGGAUAAACCCGGGAAACUGGGUAUAAUACCCGAUAGAUCUAGAUCGCUGGAAUGCUUUUAGGUCUAAAGUUCCGACGCCUCAGGAUGGGUCUGCGGCCUAUCAGGGUAGUAGUGGGUGUAAAGUACCUACUAGCCUACGACGGGUACGGGUUGUGAGAGCAAGAGCCCGGAGAUGGAUUCUGAGACACGAAUCCAGGCCCUACGGGGUGCAGCAGGCGCGAAACCUUUACAAUGCUGGCAACAGCGAUAAGGGGACCUCGAGUGCUACGAUACAAUCGUGGCUGUCUAGUUGCCUAAAAAGCAAUUGAUAGCAAGGGCCGGGCAAGACCGGUGCCAGCCGCCGCGGUAACACCGGCGGCUCGAGUGGUAACCGCUAUUAUUGGGUCUAAAGGGUCUGUAGCCGGCUUAGUUAGUCUCUUGAGAAAUCUGGCCGCUCAACGGUCAGGCGUUCAGGGGAUACUGCUAAAGCUCGAGACCGGGAGAGGUGAGAGGUACUUCAGGGGUAGGGGUGAAAUCUUGUAAUCCUUGAAGGACCACCAGUGGCGAAGGCGUCUCACCAGAACGGAUCUGACGGCAAGGGACGAAAGCUAGGGGCACGAACCGGAUUAGAUACCCGGGUAGUCCUAGCCGUAAACGAUACUCGCUAGGUGUCGGCCACGGUGCGACCGUGGUCGGUGCCGUAGGGAAGCCGUGAAGCGAGCCACCUGGGAAGUACGGCCGCAAGGCUGAAACUUAAAGGAAUUGGCGGGGGAGCA